GCUCAGAUUGAACGCUGGCGGCAGGCUUAACACAUGCAAGUCGAGCGGAGAGAGGUAGCUUGCUACUGAUCUUAGCGGCGGACGGGUGAGUAAUGCUUAGGAAUCUGCCUAUUAGUGGGGGACAACAUUUCGAAAGGAAUGCUAAUACCGCAUACGUCCUACGGGAGAAAGCAGGGGAUCUUCGGACCUUGCGCUAAUAGAUGAGCCUAAGUCGGAUUAGCUAGUUGGUGGGGUAAAGGCCUACCAAGGCGACGAUCUGUAGCGGGUCUGAGAGGAUGAUCCGCCACACUGGGACUGAGACACGGCCCAGACUCCUACGGGAGGCAGCAGUGGGGAAUAUUGGACAAUGGGCGCAAGCCUGAUCCAGCCAUGCCGCGUGUGUGAAGAAGGCCUUAUGGUUGUAAAGCACUUUAAGCGAGGAGGAGGCUACUUUAGUUAAUACCUAGAGAUAGUGGACGUUACUCGCAGAAUAAGCACCGGCUAACUCUGUGCCGGCAGCCGCGGUAAUACAGAGGGUGCAAGCGUUAAUCGGAUUUACUGGGCGUAAAGCGCGCGUAGGCGGCUAAUUAAGUCAAAUGUGAAAUCCCCGAGCUUAACUUGGGAAUUGCAUUCGAUACUGGUUAGCUAGAGUGUGGGAGAGGAUGGUAGAAUUCCAGGUGUAGCGGUGAAAUGCGUAGAGAUCUGGAGGAAUACCGAUGGCGAAGGCAGCCAUCUGGCCUAACACUGACGCUGAGGUGCGAAAGCAUGGGGAGCAAACAGGAUUAGAUACCCUGGUAGUCCAUGCCGUAAACGAUGUCUAC
rnacentral:rRNA from 1 species